rnacentral:rRNA from 1 species
AGCAGCCGCGGUAAUUCCAGCUCCAAUAGCGUAUAUUAAAGUUGCUGCAGUUAAAAAAGCUCGUAGUUGAAUUUCGGGAUCAAUAUGUCGGUCGUGCCUCGGUACGCACUGGCUUAUUGGUUUCUCCCUUCUGACGAACCAUGAUGUCAUUAAUUUGGUGUCUUGGGAAAUCAGGACUGUUACUUUGAAAAAUUAGAGUGUUUAAAGCAGGCUCACGCUUGAAUACAUUAGCAUGGAAUAAUGAAAUAGGAUGUUUGAUUCUAUUUUGUUGGUUUCUAGGAUCGACGUAAUGAUUAAUAGGGAUAGUUGGGGGCAUUAGUAUUCAAUUGUCAGAGGUGAAAUUCUUGGAUUUAUUGAAGACUAACUACUGCGAAAGCAUUUGCCAAGGAUGUUUUCAUUAAUC